rnacentral:rRNA from 1 species
AUUCCAGCUGAUCCUGCUGGCGGACACUGCUAUCGGAAUUCGGUUAAGACAUGCAAGUCUAAUAAACACAACUACGAGUGUUUAUGGCAAACUGCUCAGUAACACGUAGACAAUCUACCCAUAGAAGAAAUUAAACUCGCGAAAGUGAGGGUAAUGUUUCAUAGCUAACAAGCUCUGGAAGGAAUGUUAGCAAAAGGAUACACAUCAUGUAAGUGCAAUCGUCUGUGGAUGAGUCUGCGGCGGACUAGGCUGUUGGCGGGGUAACGGCCCACCAAACCAAAGAUCCGUAUGGGCCUUGGAAGAGGUUGCCCAGAGAAGGAAACUGAGACACUGUUCCUAGCCCUAAGGGGUGCAGCAGUCGCGAAAACUCUACAAUGUACGCAAGUACGAUAGGGGGAUUCCGAGUGCCAGCUUUGCUGGCUUUUAUUAAGACUAGACAUCUUAGUGAAUAAGUGGGGGGCAAGACACGUGCCAGCCGCCGCGGUAAAACGUGCUCCACAAGUGGUGUCCUUGUAUAUUGGGCCUAAAGCGUUUGUAGCCUGUUCAAUAAGUCCCUGGUGAAAUCAAUCAGCUUAACUGAUUGAAUGGCUGGGGAUACUGUUGGGCUCGAAGUCGGAAGAGGUUAGAGGAAUUUUCGGGGUAACGGUGAAAUGUUAUGAUCCCGAAAGGACCACCAGUAGCGAAGGCGUCUAACCAGUACGAACUUGACGGUGAGAGACGAAAGCUAGGGGAGCGACCCGGAUUAGAUACCCGGUUAGUCCUAGCCGUAAACGAUGUGGACUAGGUGUGCCAAUAUUUUAAUGUUGGUGUGCCGAAGUGAAGAUGUUAAGUCCACCGCCUGGGAAGUAAGGUCGCAAGACUGAAACUUAAUGGAAUUGGCGGGAGCGCACUACAAGGGGUGGAGGCUGCGGUUUAAUUGGACUCAACGCCAGACAGCUCACCAGAGCCGACAGCAGAAUGAUGGUCAGUCUGAAGGGCUUACCUGACACGCUGAGAGGUGUUGUAUGGUCAUCGUCAGCUCGUAUUGUGAAACGUCCAGUCAACUCUGGCAACGAGCGAGACCCACGUUUUUUGUUGCGACCGGCCUAUUUUAGGUCGAGCACUCGAGAAAGACAGCUAGUGCAAACUAGAGGAAGGAGUGGGCAACGGUAGAUCUGUAUGGCCCGAAUGCUCUGGGCUACACGCGGCCUACAAUGGCUAAGACAAUUGGUUCCGACCCCGAAAGGGCAAGGCAAUCCCAUAACCUUAGCCUCAGUUCAGAUCGAGGGCUGGAACUCGCCCUCGUGAACGCCUGGAAUCCCCAGUAAUCGCGUGUCAUAAUCACGCGGUGAAUACGUCCCUGCGCUUUGCACACACUGCCCAUCAAGCCAGUUGAGUAAAGUUUAGAUGAGUUGUGCUCACAAGAGUACAACGAUUCUGCGCUUUGCAAGACGGGCUAAGUUGUAACAAGGUGUCCGUAGGGGAACCUGCGGACGGAUCACCUCCU